GUUUUCUUUGCCUUCUAAGGACUAAUAUAAUCAAUCUUAUGAUAAGAGCAUGCACAAUUUUGAGCACCAAUAUCCUCCCCAACACAAGGAGCCUCUGCUUUUCCAUCUCGGUACCAUUGUUUUCUUUGUUGAACUAGUUCACUGACGAAAUUGUCAAGCAUUUCUCGGGUGAUGCCUGGCAUAACAAUAACAUGUGCCAUAUCUUUGACGCAUGAAAGUUGCCAACGACGCACAAAUUCAUGGUCACGAGGCCUUUCAAGUACAACUAUGAUGCUUAGCUCAUUCAGCAUGACACUUAUCCCUGCUUGUUGAAGACGAUCUUUCAAAUAUUUGGCAUUGUCGAGACAUCUUUUAACAUCCUUUUGAAGUCCAACUUGACCUUUUGCGCUUAAGCUAUACCAUAAGAAAAUUGGAGUCAAACCGUUACGACUACCAGAAAUAGUGGCAUCGACAGAAGCAAUGUAUUCCACAUUUGUUGAGAGAUUAUUGAUGUAGCUUUUUCUUGUUAUUUGGACACCACAAGGCAUUGGGCAUCCUAAGAACUUGUGACCAGAAAUUGUGACACUUCCAAUUGGCUUCUUGAAACUAAUCAUAUUGUUUAUAAAAGGGGUCAUAAGACCACAUAGUGCUGCAUCACAAUGGAUGUAAAACCUAUCUUGUGAAUAGCCACAUUCUUUGAGUGUUUCAAGAAUAACAUCCAGGUCAUCGAUUGCUCCUUUGAACGUAGUUCCAAUUGUGACAUUUAUAAUAGCUGGUUUGUCCUUAUUUUGAAGUAACUUUGCUCUUAAAUCUGAAUAAUUCAUCUCUCCGUUUACUGAUGUGUUGAUUGUUUCUGAAUCCAUUCUGUACAUUCUUGCAGCUUUGAAGACUGAGUAAUGAGAAUCUUUUGAUGCAUAUAAUAUUCCUUCAGGAAGUAACUCUCUCCCUAACAAAAUACCAUGGAGAUUGCCUUCGGUGCCACCAUUGGUAACAUAUCCCCAAUAUUGAUCCUUUUCAAUUUCCCAUAGUUUUGCAAACCAAUCCAAAACAGCCACUUCAAAGUCUUUAGAAUGGAAAUCGACAGUGUUUUGAAGGAAAGGAUCACCACAAUUGUUUAGGUGAAACUGUAAAAGUGGUGCUAGCGUUGCAUAGUGAUCAUAACAUAUGUUAACUGGAUAACCUAAAUGAUAAUUGACUCGUUGUGUAAGUGUAUCUAAAUAGUUGACCAAUAUAGUGUCCAAAGAGGGACCAUCAUUCUUCAAUCCAGGCUCCAUCACCUCAAGUUGCAAGUUCUUCCUUGGCCCAUCCCCUGGUGGUGCCACCUUUUGUUUUUUGUUGUCCACAUUCGGAAACAAUCUUCGCCGUGCUAAACUUCUGGGUGUCAUCGCUGCUAAACUUCUGGGUGACAUGGGCAAUGACUCAAAAUCCAUUUCAAGCAAGAGGCUACCCAUUAUAUAUUUUGAAACACAAAUUUAUAGUAAGUUGUUUGUUUUUGUUUGCUUAGGCCUUAG
rnacentral:misc_RNA from 1 species